CUACGGGUCGCUGCAGUGAGGAAUAUUGCACAAUGGGGGGAACCCUGAUGCAGCAACGCCGCGUGGAGGAUGACGCAUUUCGGUGUGUAAACUCCUUUUAUAUGUCAAGAAAAUGACGGUAGCAUAUGAAUAAGCACCGGCUAACUCCGGUGCCAGCAGCCGCGGUGAAUACGGAGGGUGCAAGCGUUACUCGGAAUCACUGGGCGUAAAGGACGCGUAGGCGGGUUGGAAAGUCAGGUGUGAAAUCCUACAGCUUAACUGUAGAACUGCACUUGAAACUUCUAAUCUAGAGUAUGGGAGGGGGAGAUGGAAUUAGUGGUGUAGGGGUAAAAUCCGUAGAUAUCACUAGGAAUACCUAAAGCGAAGGCGAUCUCCUGGAACAUUACUGACGCUAAGGCGUGAAAGCGUGGGGAGCAAACAGGAUUAGAUACCCUCGUAGUC
rnacentral:rRNA from 1 species